AGAGUUUGAUCCUGGCUCAGAGCGAACGCUGGCGGCGUGCUUAACACAUGCAAGUCGAGUGCGCGCCUGUAGCAAUACAGGUGGCGCACGGCGCACGGGUGCGUAACACGUGGGCAAUCUGCCCUUCGAUGGGGAAUAACCCCGGGAAACCGGGGCUAAUUCCGCAUAAUAUUCCGAUGACUAACGUCAAUGGAUUCAAAGCCGUAAGGCGUCGAAGGAGGAGCCCGCGCACGAUUAGCUAGUUGGUGAGGUAACGGCUCACCAAGGCUAUGAUCGUUAGCUGGUCUGAGAGGAUGGCCAGCCACACUGGAACUGAGACACGGUCCAGACUCCUACGGGAGGCAGCAGUGGGGAAUCUUGCACAAUGGGCGAAAGCCUGAUGCAGCGACGCCGCGUGGGGGAUGAAGCUUUUCGGAGUGUAAACCCCUUUCGACCCGGACGAAUGCCCCGCAAGGGGACUGA
rnacentral:rRNA from 1 species